AGCUUUGCUCAGUGGCAAUAUCAUAGCCAGUGAGGUUUAUCCAAGGCGUGAUUAUUGCUAAUUGAAAAAAAAAAAAAGUUUGAAAUUUCCUCAGAAA
ensembl:snRNA U4 U4 spliceosomal RNA